rnacentral:rRNA from 1 species
AUUGAACGCUGGCGGCAGGCUUAACACAUGCAAGUCGAGCGGGGUGAUGGUGCUUGCACUAUCACUUAGCGGCGGACGGGUGAGUAAUGCUUAGGAAUCUGCCUAUUAGUGGGGGACAACAUCUCGAAAGGGAUGCUAAUACCGCAUACGUCCUACGGGGGAAAGCAGGGGAUCACUUGUGACCUUGCGCUAAUAGAUGAGCCUAAGUCGGAUUAGCUAGUUGGUGGGGUAAAGGCCUACCAAGGCGACGAUCUGUAGCGGGUCUGAGAGGAUGAUCCGCCACCCUGGGACUGAGACACGGCCCAGACUCCUACGGGAGGCAGCAGUGGGGAAUAUUGGACAAUGGGGGGAACCCUGAUCCAGCCAUGCCGCGUGUGUGAAGAAGGCCUUAUGGUUGUAAAGCACUUUAAGCGAGGAGGAGGCUCUUUUGGUUAAUACCCAAGAUGAGUGGACGUUGCUCGCAGAAUAAGCACCGGCUAACUCUGUGCCAGCCGCCGCAGUAA